rnacentral:tRNA from 1 species
ACAGUGGUAGUUCAGUGGUAGAAUUCUUGCCUCCAUGUGGGAGACCUGGGUUCGAUUCCCAGCCAGUGCA